rnacentral:rRNA from 1 species
UACGGAGGGGGGCUAGCGUUGUUCGGAAUUACUGGGCGUAAAAGCGCGCGUAGGCGGCUUUGUAAGUUAGAGGUGAAAGCCCGGAGCUUAACUCCGGAACUGCCUUUAAGACUGCAUCGCUAGAAUCGUGGAGAGGUGAGUGGAAUUCCGAGUGUAGAGGUGAAAUUCGUAGAUAUUCGGAAGAACACCAGUGGCGAAGGCGACUCACUGGACACGUAUUGACGCUGAGGUGCGAAAGCGUGGGGGAGCAAACAGG